rnacentral:tRNA from 1 species
GGAGAGGUGCUGGAGUGGUUUAACAGGCACGCCUGGAGAGCGUGUGUCGGGUACUCCCGACCGUGGGUUCGAAUCCCACCCUCUCCG